UCCUAAUGCACUUCUCUCAUCAGAGUCUUCUCCAUCGUCAAACUACAACAUCAAACAACCAAACCAUGGAGAUUUUUUGUAAGAUAAUUUCACCCAUUAAGGAAAUAUUUGCAUGAUAAAAGAAGAGAAACACUCCUAUUUGAGAUUGCAAAUUAAGAUUUGAGGCAUGGAUAUACAAGUUAUCCGCAAUAGAAUACGUAAGAGGCGAAGAAAUAAUAACUUUUGGGACUUGGUAGCUUGUGCAUUUGGUUAUAUAUCUCUUUAUUAUGUAAAGUACAUACACAAGGAACCAUGCAUGAAUUCUUUUCAAACAGGAGAAAAACGGAUGCAAGAAUUGUUGAACAGUCAUGGGAAAACGUUGUUUUAACAUGUUUAAAAUGAUACAAUGCACAUUUCGCCAACUAUGCAUGGAUUUAGCAUGCAAGUAUGGGUUGCUUCCUUCAGAUAGAAUAUCUACUUUGGAGAAGAUGGGUAUAUUUGUAUUUACUCUAAGUAAAGGAGCCUCAAAUCGGGAUGUCAAAGAGAGAUUUCAACAUUCUGGUGAAACAGUAAGUAGAAUUUUUAAAGAGGUUUUAGAUGCCAUGGUGGUUUGUUAAUAGACAUCAUAAAACCAAGAGAUCUUGAAUUCAAGGAUAUUCUUUCACAAAUUGCU